rnacentral:rRNA from 1 species
UGACCAGAUAACACACUAGUGGCGGACGGGUGAGUAACGCGCGGAUAACCUGCCUUAUACAGGGGGAUAACAGGGAGAAAUUCUUGCUAAUACCCCAUAGGUAUGUCUGACGCAUGUUGGACAUAUUAAAGCUUUGGCGGUAUAAGAUGGGUCCGCGUCUGAUUAGCUAGUUGGUGGGGUAAAGGCCCACCAAGGCGACGAUCAGUAGCCGGCUUGAGAGAGUGGACGGCCACAUUGGGACUGAGACACGGCCCAAACUCCUACGGGAGGCAGCAGUGGGGAAUAUUGCACAAUGGGGGAAACCCUGAUGCAGCGACGCCGCGUGAAGGAAGAAGGUCUUCGGAUCGUAAACUUCUAUCAGCAGGGAAGAAGGAAGUGACAGUACCUGAGUAAGAAGCCCCGGCUAACUACGUGCCAGCAGCCGCGGUAAUACGUAGGGGGCGAGCGUUAUCCGGAAUCACUGGGUGUAAAGGGUGCGUAGGCGGUAUGGCAAGUCAGUUGUGAAACCCCCUGGCUCAACCAGGGGCUUGCAAUUGAAACUGUCAUACUAGAGUGCAGGAGAGGAAAGCGGAAUUCCUAGUGUAGCGGUGAAAUGCGUAGAUAUUAGGAAGAACACCAGUGGCGAAGGCGGCUUUCUGGACUGUAACAGACGCUGAGGCACGAAAGCGUGGGGAGCGAACAGGAUUAGAUACCCUGGUAGUCCACGCCGUAAACGAUGAGUGCUAGGUGUUGGGGUCUAAUUAGAUCUCGGUGCUGAAGUUAACGCAUUAAGCACUCCACCUGGGGAGUACGAUCGCAAGAUUGAAACUUAAAUGAAUUGACGG